AUGUGCUUCUGGAAGCGACUUGGCUCAAUAUUGGGAGUCUCGGUGGCGAUCCCACCGUACAACUAUGAUUCCCAGAGCAGGUUAGCUAGUUGGUUGCUGGAAUGGUUCGCACAGGCGCCGGAGUUUGACAAGUCUGUAAUGGUACAGGCUGUGUACUCCCUUUGGCUUGCUCGCAAUGAGGCGAGAGAUGGACGGAAGAUAGCUGAGCCACAUGAAAUAUCACUAUCUGUGGCUGCGUAUGUGAGAGAGUGGGAGGAGAUCCACAAGAAGGAGGUGAACCCAAGGGCCGCAAGGGGAAGAGAAGCAUGGGACCCGGAGAUGGGCUGGAUCAAAGCCAAUGCAGAUGGAUCGGUUUCCAAGCACCGGGAGAAGGGGGGCGCUGGUGUGGUGCUGCGAGAUCACACAGGUGCUUUCCGAGCAGCUUCGUGCCAUUUCCUGGGACAUGUAGCUGACCCGGACAAGGUGGAGCUUCUGGCAUGCAAGAAAGCAAUCGAGCUGGCAAGUAAAAUGGGCGUGUCAAGGCUUCAUCUCGAGAGCGACUCCGCAGGGGUGGUUUCGAUGCUUAACAUGCAGGACAUGAACCUCCCCGCCCGGGGGCCGACGGUGGAAAGAAUCAAGGCGAUGCUGAGACUUUUUGUUUCGUUUAGAGUUUCGUGGGUUCGCUGUUGUGCAAAUGCCGCCGCUGAUAGGUUAGCUAAGGUGAGAAUGGGUGAUGAGCGCUCGCAGGAGUGGCUAUCAUCUCCACCAGACUGCAUUCUUGAGACUGUAUCGGAUGAAAUUCCCGACUUCUUUUAA
rnacentral:rRNA from 1 species